rnacentral:rRNA from 1 species
AGUAACCUGCCUUGGAGUGGGGAAUAACACAUCGAAAGAUGUGCUAAUACCGCAUAAUGCAGUUGGGCCGCAUGGCUCUGACUGCCAAAGAUUUAUCGCUCUGAGAUGGACUCGCGUCUGAUUAGCUGGUUGGCGGGGUAACGGCCCACCAAGGCGACGAUCGGUAGCCGGACUGAGAGGUUGACCGGCCACAUUGGGACUGAGACACGGCCCAGACUCCUACGGGAGGCAGCAG